rnacentral:rRNA from 1 species
UACGUAGGGCGCGAGCGUUGUCCGGAAUUAUUGGGCGUAAAGAGCUCGUAGGCGGCCUGUUGCGUCUGCUGUGAAAUCCCGGGGCUUAACCCCGGGCGUGCAGUGGAUACGGGCAGGCUGGAGGCAGGCAGGGGAGAAUGGAAUUCCCGGUGUAGCGGUGAAAUGCGCAGAUAUCGGGAGGAACACCGGUGGCGAAGGCGGUUCUCUGGGCCUGUUCUGACGCUGAGGAGCGAAAGCGUGGGUAGCAAACAGG